GUGUGUGUGUGUGUGUGUGUGUAUGUAUCUAUAUAUAUAUAUAUAUAUAUAUAUAUAUAUAUAUAUAGAUACAUACACACACACACAAACAC